GACGAACGCUGGCGGCGUGCCUAAUACAUGCAAGUCGAGCUAUGCGGCGGAUGCGUGAGUAACCCAUGGGUAACCUGCCCUUCAGUCUGGGAUACCAUUUGGAACCAGAUGCUAAUACCGGAUACUAAACGAUGGUUCUGCGAUGCAUUAGCUAGUUGGUAAGGUAACGGCUUACCAAGGCGAUGAUGCAAAGCCGAUGUGAGAGACUGAUCGGCAACAUUGGGACUGAGACACGGCCCAAAAUCCUACGGGAGGCAGCAGUAGGGAAUCUUCCACAAUGGACGAAAGUCUGAUGGAGCAACGCCGCUUGAGUGAAGAAGGUUUUCGGAUCGUAAAGCUCUGUUGUUGGUGAAGCGGUAAUCAACCAGAAAGUCACGGCUAACUACGUGCCAGCAGCCGCGGUAAUAC
rnacentral:rRNA from 1 species